UACGUAGGGCGCAAGCGUUGUCCGGAAUUAUUGGGCGUAAAGAGCUCGUAGGCGGUUUGUCGCGUCUGCCGUGAAAGUCCGGGGCUCAACUCCGGAUCUGCGGUGGGUACGGGCAGACUAGAGUGAUGUAGGGGAGACUGGAAUUCCUGGUGUAGCGGUGAAAUGCGCAGAUAUCAGGAGGAACACCGAUGGCGAAGGCAGGUCUCUGGGCAUUAACUGACGCUGAGGAGCGAAAAGCAUGGGGAGCAAACAGG
rnacentral:rRNA from 1 species